rnacentral:rRNA from 1 species
GACGAACGCUGGCGGCGUGCUUAACACAUGCAAGUCGAACGGAAAGGCCCUUCGGGGUACUCGAGUGGCGAACGGGUGAGUGACACGUGGGUGAUCUGCCCUGCACUUUGGGAUAAGCCUGGGAAACUGGGUCUAAUACCGAAUAGGACCACGCGCUUCAUGGUGUGUGGUGGAAAGCUUUUGCGGUGUGGGAUGGGCCCGCGGCCUAUCAGCUUGUUGGUGGGGUAAUGGCCUACCAAGGCGACGACGGGUAGCCGGCCUGAGAGGGUGACCGGCCACACUGGGACUGAGAUACGGCCCAGACUCCUACGGGAGACAGCAGUGGGGAAUAUUGCACAAUGGGCGCAAGCCUGAUGCAGCGACGCCGCGUGAGGGAUGACGGCCUUCGGGUUGUAAACCUCUUUCAAUAGGGACGAAGCGCAAGUGACGGUACCUAUAGAAGAAGCACCGGCCAACUACGUG